UUCGGUUUGGUUUCGGUUUGACUAUUGAAAAAUAAUCAGGAAGGAAGAAACCCAGAACCCAGAACGGUGGAAGCUGCGGUGGUGGUGGGAUAUCAGAAACAGCAAGCGUAGUGAGUUACAGCAGCGCAUGCGUACACGUGACAUCCGCAUUGAGGAAGAAUGUGUAGAACUGUUCAACUCAAAUGGACCGCAUGUCAUUAGAGUCUGAAUCCAUUUGGUAUAAUAUCCGCUAAUGCAAUCAGCUGAUGCCGCCACACUCAGGUUUCCCGUUUGAACUGGCUCAGCUUUAUUUAUAUUUGUUGCGCGCUGGAUUGAGCUGAUUCUCACACUGAGCUUGCUCAGAAGAGAUGUCUGUCCUCAUGUUUGCUGAUUGGUCCCAGAGCCGAGAAGCUGUCAGAGACUGAGGUCAGAGUGAGGAGAGAAGAGGACAAGAGGAUAAAGGAGAGGACAAGAGAAGAGAAGAGAGUAGAAGAGGAGAAGAAAGAUGGAUAGGAGGAGGAAGGGAAGGAGAGCAGAGUGGGGAGCUGAAUCAAUAGUCCAGAGAAUCUGCAUUCUUCCCCUCAACUGUCUGACUCAGUGAUAAGUGUUCCUAAUUGUGUAAUCACUGGCAUUGGUAUGAGUAGUUGUGUAAUAACAGUCGUUUAACACAAUAUCUCAUCUCACUCCCACUCAGUGUAUCAGUACGUAUUCACACCUGUUUUCUUGACGUCCUGUUGGAAUAACUAACUUUUUGGCAUCGGUUUGUGUUUAACAUUGUACAUUUCUGUGACACCAAAUCAUUUCAUCACCAUAUGUUUUUUGGCCAAAACUCAGUUUAGGUACUAUUCAUAGGUUAUUGAAGUAUAAUAUAUUAUAUCAUUAUUUGAUAUGAAGCAUAUUAGCAUGUUUUCGUUCAUUUAAUAACUGAUGUAUUUGUAAUUUCAGGGUACAGCAGAAUAUUGACAUUUGUCCUUAGGAUUGUUCUGUAAGAGAGAAGGUAGAGGCCCUUUGAUCUGCGGCCUACAGAGUAUCAGUCCUAUCCCUGCUGCAAAGGCAUCUGGGAUGCUGGAGGAACCACAGGUCUAGAGAAAACACACUCCAAGCCUACUCUUUGAGCACUGGAUUUUACAAGCCAAACAAGUGGUCGGGCCUUCCCCCAUGUCAAAUAAAUAUGAUGUCAAACA